GACCCGUUAGCUCAGUCGGUAGAGCAACUCCCUUUUAAGGAGUGGGCCCUAGGUUCGAAUCCUAGACGGGUCACCA
rnacentral:tRNA from 1 species